GAGACGUGGAGAAGGAGACCUAGGCGUUGUGAGUUUCUCUGUUGCUGUUUGAGCCGCUGGUUUUCCUGGAGGAGCUUGUCAUGCUGGCUUCCCCAGUGUGAGUUCCACCAUUGUCAUUGGAAGAGCUUGGGACCUUGAUGCAUUCAGUUAGAGACACUGGAGUCCAGCUGACUGACGCCCAUGACAAGCCCGCACUGUCAUUAACACCGUCCACCCGGAGGAAAUGGAGAAGCUGCAGGAGGAGCUGAGGAAAAGCUCCUGGGCCCUGGGAACCCAGCCCAACAGCUAGCACUGAGGUCCUGACUCCAAGAGGUCCGGCCUGACCCUCCAGCCCACCUCGAAGCAUCCCCAGCCCUGAGCAGGCAUCCAGAAUCAGAACCGGGGGACACGGCCACCCACAGUGAGGCCCUGCUGUGCCACCUAGGGUUCCUUGCUGACCCCUGCGGGACUUGGGGUCUGUGACACCCUGAGUCCGGGAGAGCGCAGGACCUGGGCCUGGGCUCCAGAACAUGCUGGACCUGGGUCCCUGUGCUGCUGGCUGGCUGGUCCCAGGUUGGGCUCUGGAGCUGAGCUCUCACCUGAGCCACCCAGAGAGGUGGGGCGGGGGCCUCUGUCCCGGCCUCAGUGAUGACCGGGCCCACUGUCCCCACUCCACGACCCAGGUCCAUGGAUCAGCAGAACCAUGCAGGACGGCCACGGGGAAGCCAUGCAAGGUCCUCAAACAGAGACACACUUCUUGCAAAGCACAGUGACACAUGGGAAGAGAAAAAUUAGAUCUUCACUGAUUAUGUAUUUUUAGUUUUUUUGUGAUUUACCAUCGUUCAGUUUUGAUUGGUGAUAGCGUUUAUGUUCUUGACUUUGGUACGUUUGUGUGUGAGUUAAUCAUUUUAAGAUUUCUUUCUUUGUUUUUUUCUCCAGACCAAGUCUUGCUAUGUAGUUCAGGCUGGCCUCAAACUCACGGCAAUCCUCUGCCUCAGCCUCCCAAGUGCUGUGCUACCGUGCCCGGCUAGGAUUGCUUUUCUUUUCUUCUUUAAUAAUUUUAUUGGCACAGUUUUUACACACACAGUUAUCACAUUCCUCAUAGGGAAUUUGUAGUGAUACAGAAUGUAUCAUUGUAAGAUUUCUGUUUUAUACUCCAGUUCCUGGAAAUAGAGUCUUAAAAGGUAACCAUAUUGCAAUGUUUAUGUUUUUUCUAUAACAAUGAUGUUUUAGUUGGAAAUAAGUAAAAAAUAAAUUUCACAAAAAACGUCA